AAACCACACCUAUAUAAAAAUCCCCUGAUCAGCCACACUAACCCUUUACAUCGGCCAUUGAGAGCAUAACACUUUGUUCACAGCACGGACAACAAACCUAAGAGCCUUCUUUUCAACAUGGACAGCAUAUAUGGUAGGUAAAACAAGACUAUAACGGAUUCUUAAAUUUAUACAACUGUAUAUCAAAAAAUAUUCAAAAUGUUUUCUCUUCUAAACAAAAGCCUGAUUUUUAGGAACAUGGCACACUGGGACAUCCCACGCGGCACAUACACAAGGAUCACAAAGCUAUAUAGGGCAAACAACACCUCUAACUAAGGAGUGCGGGAUGACGUCGGGAUCAACCAUGACGAACAGUCAGAACAUCGUCCAAGCCACAGAAGCUCUAGAGCGAAACAUGCAAGCGUGGGACCUCUCAGACUCGUCAGACUCCCCACCGCCUGCGCUGCUAAUCCAGACCCCACCACCUCCUCCCCC